GUGAGUCGGCCUCGCCAGUGCGCAUGCGCGAGGCCCGAGCCGCCGCUUUGGUCACAGUGACCGCCACCGUUGCCCGGGUAUGGGUCCCUGAGACUUGGCGAAGUAGGAGCCCUGUGUGAUCGUGCGUCAGAGUCGGGGCUGAGACCAGCCCUGGCCAGGGCAGUUACCAGGACGGUCUCCGGAGGCCGGGAUUCGCGGAGGGUCCACCAGCAGGAAGAAACCCCAGGAGGAAGAAACCUCAGACAGAUCGCCGGGGAGGCAGCGCGGGAUCCCAGCCUCAGGCGUGCGCGGACGGUGUGCGGAGUCUAGCUUUGUACCAGGCUGCAGUGCAGUAGUGCCAUCUCAGCUCACUGCAACCUCUGCCUCCUGGGUUCAAGCGAUUGUCCUGCCUCAGCCUCCCGAGUAGCUGGGAUUACAGGCACAUGCCACCACACCCAGCUAAUGUUUGUAUUUUUAGUAGAUACGGGGUUUCAUCAUGUUGCCCAGGAUGGUCUUAAUUUCCUGACCUCGUGAUCCGCCCAUCUCGGCCUCCCAAAAUGCUGGGAUUACAGGCAUGAGCCACCAGAACCGGACAUGCUUUCCUUAAAAGCUAAAUAUUUUAGGCUUGUGUGCCAUUAGGCUCUGUUACAACUACUUAAUUCUGCUUUUGUAAUUCUAUAGCACCCAUUGAUAAUACAUAAACAAAUGAGCAUGAAUGUGUCUCAGUAAAAAUUUGUUCACAUAAACAGGCAGUCCACCCAUGAAGCUAUAGCUUGCUGACCCCUUGUUUAAACAAUCAAUUGAAUUCAAACAGAAAUAAAAGGAUCUUAUAUAUUUAACCAUGUUGAUACCAUUUCCAGUGCUUUUCAUUCUUCUAUGUAGAUCCAAAUUUCCUUUUGAUAUUAUUUUACUUCUGCCUGAAACUUUUUCUUUAACAUUUUUUAUAGUGUUGUUUUACUGGUGAUGAUUUCUUUCAGGUUCUAAGUGCCUGAAAAAAUCUUUAUUUCACCUACAUCCUGAAAGAUAGUUUCUCUGAGUCUACAAUUCCCAGCUGACAAUGUUUAUCUUCCAGUACUUUAAAGAUGUUGCUUCAUUAUCUUCUAAUUUUCUUUGUUUCUAAUAAAAUGUUUGCUGGCAUUUUUUGUUCCUCUGUGCAAACUGUGUUUUUGUCAUUGGCCACUUUGAGAAUUUUUCUUUAUCACUAGUUUUAAGCAAUUUUAUUUUAGUGUAUUUUGUGCACAAGACAAGGAUGCCCUCUCUCACCACUCCUGUUCAACAUAGUAUUGGAAGUCCUUGCCAAAACAGUUAGGCAAGAGAAAGAAAUAAAGGGUACCCAAAUAGGAAGAAAGGACGUCAAACUAUCCCUGUCUGUAGAUUACAUGAUCCUAUAUGUAGAAAACUUUAUAGGCCCAAAAGCUUAAGGCCCGAAAGCUCCUUAAGAUGAAAAACACCUUUGGCAGAGUCUCAGGAUACAAAAAGAACAUACAAAAAUUACUCGCAUUCCCAUACACCAACAAGAGUCAAGCGGAGAGCCAAAUCAGGAAUGCAAUCUGAUUCACAAUUGCUGCAAAAAGAAUCAAAUACCUAGGAAUACAGCUAACUAGUGAGGUGAAAGAUCUCUGUAAGAACUAAAAACACCAAAGAUAUCAGAGAGGAUGAAACAAAUGAAAAAACAUUCUAUGCUCAUGGAUAGGAAGAAUCAAUAUCAUUAAAAUGGCCAUAUUGUCCUUAUUUUCAAGUAUGCUAUUGCACUCUAUGACUGAUCCAAAC
rnacentral:lncRNA from 1 species